rnacentral:rRNA from 1 species
CAGUCGCCGCGGUAAUACGUAGGGGGCAAGCGUUAUCCGGAAUUACUGGGUGUAAAGGGAGCGUAGACGGUUAAACAAGUCUGAAGUGAAAUGCCGGGGCUCAACCCCGGAGCUGCUUUGGGAACUGAAGAACUGGAGUGUCGGAGGGGUAAGCGGAAUUCCCAGUGUAGCGGUGAAAUGCGUAGAUAUUGGGAGGAACACCGGCGGCGAAGGCGGCUUACUGGACGACAACUGACGUUGAGGCUCGAAGGCGUGGGUAGCAAACAGGAUUAGAUACCCCUGUAGUCCCUGUCUCUUAUAC